rnacentral:rRNA from 1 species
AGUGAACGCUGGCGGCAGGCCUAACACAUGCAAGUCGAGCGGCAGCGGGUCCCCGCGAGGGGAUGCCGGCGAGCGGCGGACGGGUGAGGAACACAUCGGAAUCUGCCUGGGUUGUGGGGGAUAACGUAGGGAAACUUACGCUAAUACCGCAUGAGACCCUGAGUCGACGGACUGGGGGUGAAAGUGAGGGACCUUCGGGCCUCACGCGACCAGAUGAGCCGAUGUCGGAUUAGCUAGUUGGCGGGGUAACGGCCCGCCAAGGCGACGAUCCGUAGCUGGUCUGAGAGGAUGAUCAGCCACACUGGGACUGAGACACGGCCCAGACUCCUACGGGAGGCAGCAGUGGGAAUCUUGGACAAUGGGCGCAAGCCUGAUCCAGCCAUGCCGCGUGGGUGAAGAA